AGAGUUUGAUCCUGGCUCAGGACGAACGCUGGCGGCGUGCUUAACACAUGCAAGUCGAACGAUGAUGCCCAGCUUGCUGGGCGGAUUAGUGGCGAACGGGUGAGUAAUACGUGAGUAACCUGCCCUUGACUCUGGGAUAAGCCUGGGAAACUGGGUCUAAUACUGGAUACUACCUCUUGCCGCAUGGUGGGUGGUGGAAAGGGUUUUACUGGUUUUGGAUGGGCUCACGGCCUAUCAGCUUGUUGGUGGGGUAAUGGCUCACCAAGGCGACGACGGGUAGCCGGCCUGAGAGGGUGACCGGCCACACUGGGACUGAGACACGGCCCAGACUCCUACGGGAGGCAGCAGUGGGGAAUAUUGCACAAUGGGCGGAAGCCUGAUGCAGCGACGCCGCGUGAGGGAUGACGGCCUUCGGGUUGUAAACCUCUUUCAGUAGGGAAGAAGCGAGAGUGACGGUACCUGCAGAAGAAGCGCCGGCUAACUACGUGCCAGCAGCCGCGGUAAUACGUAGGGCGCAAGCGUUGUCCGGAAUUAUUGGGCGUAAAGAGCUCGUAGGCGGUUUGUCGCGUCUGCUGUGAAAGCCCGGGGCUCAACCCCGGGUCUGCAGUGGGUACGGGCAGACUAGAGUGCAGUAGGGGAGACUGGAAUUCCUGGUGUAGCGGUGAAAUGCGCAGAUAUCAGGAGGAACACCGAUGGCGAAGGCAGGUCUCUGGGCUGUUACUGACGCUGAGGAGCGAAAGCAUGGGGAGCGAACAGGAUUAGAUACCCUGGUAGUCCAUGCCGUAAACGUUGGGCACUAGGUGUGGGGGACAUUCCACGUUUUCCGCGCCGUAGCUAACGCAUUAAGUGCCCCGCCUGGGGAGUACGGCCGCAAGGCUAAAACUCAAAGGAAUUGACGGGGGCCCGCACAAGCGGCGGAGCAUGCGGAUUAAUUCGAUGCAACGCGAAGAACCUUACCAAGGCUUGACAUUCACCGGACCGCCCCAGAGAUGGGGUUUCCCUUCGGGGCUGGUGGACAGGUGGUGCAUGGUUGUCGUCAGCUCGUGUCGUGAGAUGUUGGGUUAAGUCCCGCAACGAGCGCAACCCUCGUUCUAUGUUGCCAGCACGUGAUGGUGGGGACUCAUAGGAGACUGCCGGGGUCAACUCGGAGGAAGGUGGGGAUGACGUCAAAUCAUCAUGCCCCUUAUGUCUUGGGCUUCACGCAUGCUACAAUGGCCGGUACAAAGGGUUGCGAUACUGUGAGGUGGAGCUAAUCCCAAAAAGCCGGUCUCAGUUCGGAUUGAGGUCUGCAACUCGACCUCAUGAAGUCGGAGUCGCUAGUAAUCGCAGAUCAGCAACGCUGCGGUGAAUACGUUCCCGGGCCUUGUACACACCGCCCGUCAAGUCACGAAAGUUGGUAACACCCGAAGCCGGUGGCCUAACCCCUUGUGGGAGGGAGCCGUCGAAGGUGGGACUGGCGAUUGGGACUAAGUCGUAACAAGGUAACC
rnacentral:rRNA from 3 species